rnacentral:misc_RNA from 1 species
GAUCAGAGUUGGUACUUGGAAUGUCGGAUCACUUAUCGGAAAAUCAAUGGAGCUUGUGGAUACCUUAGAAAGGAGAAGGGUGAAUACUGUUUGCAUUUAGGAAACUAAAUGGGUAGGAGAGAAAAGAAAAAAAGUGGGUAAUUCAAGGUACAAACUGUGGUUUACCAAAAAGGAGAGAAAUAAGAACGGAGUUGGCAUAAUCAUAGACAGGACAUU